GCCUGGGUGGCUCAGUCGGUUGAGUGUCCGACUUCGGCUCAGGUCAUGAUCUCGUGGUCUGUGAGUUCGAGCCCCACGUCAGGCU
rnacentral:tRNA from 1 species